rnacentral:tRNA from 1 species
GCAUUCGUGGUGCAACGGUAGCACACUCGGCGCGUAGUCAAGAGGUCCAGGUUCGAGCCCCGGCGAUGGCG